rnacentral:rRNA from 1 species
UAGGGAAUCUUCGGCAAUGGACGAAAGUCUGACCGAGCAACGCCGCGCGAGUGAAGAAGGUUUUCGGAUCGUAAAACUCUGUUGUUAGAGAAGAACAAGGACGUUAGUAACUGAACGUCCCCUGACGGUAUCUAACCAGAAAGCCACGGCUAACUACGUGCCAGCAGCCGCGGUAAUACGUAGGUGGCAAGCGUUGUCCGGAUUUAUUGGGCGUAAAGCGAGCGCAGGCGGUUUCUUAAGUCUGAUGUGAAAGCCCCCGGCUCAACCGGGGAGGGUCAUUGGAAACUGGGAGACUUGAGUGCAGAAGAGGAGAGUGGAAUUCCAUGUGUAGCGGUGAAAUGCGUAGAUAUAGGGAGGAACACCAGUGGCGAAGGCGGCUCUCUGGUCUGUAACUGACGCUGAGGCUCGAAAGCGUGGGGAGCAAACAGG